AAGAGAUUUUAGUAUAAAUACAUUAAUUGUUCCAGAGUUAAAGCAUUUGUUUGUAGCCUUCCAUCUCUCUUCGACAGUCCACUAACUGUGUGAAUUCGACAGAGCGUGCUUUUGUAAACUCUGAAGAGCUUGACAAAAAACAAUGGCUGGAAAACUGCUGAUUCUUUGCUUUGUGUUGGCGAUGGUCACUAUUGCAACAUGCAAACCUCGAAAUCCUUUUGCGGGACUUUUCCGAAGAGACUAUAUGAUGAUGCUCGAAAAUGAGAAACGCGCGCCUGGUGUCUGUCAGGAGAUGAGCUGGUGUUCUACCCUCGCUAACUGUUAUGGGAGUGACGCGGGAGGAAGCUAUGUGCAAACACCUGGAAACUGCGGACCAAGCACAGUCUGCUGCACCUACUUUGAAAUGUGAUACCUACACAGAUAGGAGAUAUCCCCGAGAGGCCCUACCUGAGGAACCGGUAUUCACAGAAAAAUGUAACGUGUAGUGGUGGAAAGUGUCGAUCUUUUUAAUGUAGUUCUACCCUUAACCACGCAAUAAAGAACGGAAUAAAAUUG